rnacentral:lncRNA from 1 species
ACUCAUGCCCUCUCCCUCUAGUGUGGGAAAACAAGAGGAACCUCCAAAAUUUCCUAGCUGCACAAAGAAAUUGGUGGAAAUUCACUUCAUUUUGAAGCUCGGGGUUUCUAUGUGGUUGAUUUAAUCAAAAUAUUAAUGUGAUUUUUCUAGAAGAAGAAAAAGGGAAAAUAUAAAAAUCAUGCUGAUUGGAUUUGAAUAGAUUGUAUUGAUCAUAUAUGAAUAUUAUCUUUCAUCCAGAUUGGAAAGUACUGUUUUGAAAUCCAGUCCUUCACACUUCCAAACUGAUCAUUUUUAAUAAGUAAAUGUCAUUUUGGCUUUUUUUUUUUUUUUCUGGUCAGGAAGAAAAACAAGAAGUUUCCUUCCGCAAACUUCCUAAAAGGUGCCAUGUGUUUUCCUAAAACCAAGGAAAAUUCUAAAAUAGAACUACCAUAUGAUUCAGCAAUCCCACUUGUUAUUCAAUAAUAUGACUCCAGGUAUUGCUGUGAGGGGAUUUUGAAGAUGUAGUUAAAGCCCCAAAGUGGUUGACUUUUUACAAUACGGAGAGCAUUUGGUUGAGACUGAUCUAAUCACAUGAGCCCUUUCAAAGCAGAAUUUUCUCGGGCUAGUAGCAGAAUGGGAAUUGGAAAUUUAAAGUGCAAGAAGGAACUAAUGUGAAGAAGAUUCUCCAUUGCUGAGAUGGAGUGGGGCACGUGGCAGGGAUCUAAGAGUGGCCUCCAGAAGGUGAGAGUGGUCCCUGGUUGACAGCCAGGAAUGCAGUGGAUACCUUAGUCUACUACUGCAAGGAAAUGAAUUCUGCCAACAGCCUGAGUGACCUUGGAAGCAUAUCUUUCUCUAGUCAAGACUCCAGAUAAGUACACAUCUGGACAACACCGUAUUUUCAGCUUUAUAAGAUCCUAAGUAGAGAGCCAAGUUAAAAUUUGCUGGAAUUCUGACCCAGGCAACUGUGAGAUAAUAAAAUUUUGUCACUUUAAGUUGCUAAAUUUAUGGUAAUUUGCUACAUAGCAAAAGAAAAAGUUGCUAAUAAAUAACUUCAAAUCU